CGUUUUGGUCCCUUAACUUUA
rnacentral:miRNA from 1 species